rnacentral:tRNA from 1 species
UUAACUAAAGCCAAAGAUUAGAGGCAGUUUAUUGUUAAUAAAAAGAUUGAUUAAAAUUCUAGUUGAA